UACGUAGGGAGCAAGCGUUGUCCGGAAUCAUUGGGCGUAAAGCACGCGUAGGCGGCCUCAUAAGUCCGUUGUGAAAGUCAAAGGCUCAACCUUUGAAAGCCGAUGGAUACUGUGAGGCUAGAGUCCGGAAGAGGCGAGUGGAAUUCCUGGUGUAGCGGUGGAAUGCGCAGAUAUCAGGAGGAACACCAAUAGCGAAGGCAGCUCGCUGGGACGGUACUGACGCUAAGGCGCGAAAGCGUGGGGAGCGAACAGG
rnacentral:rRNA from 1 species